CCACGUCUCCGGCAGAUACGCUUCUGAUAAUGGAGGGAGGGGUCUCGAAGCGCCCGGGCUGGGCCACGGUGCCACCACCACUGCAAAUAUUAGUUUUGGCCCCAGACAGGGUGUGGGCUCUCAGAAGGGUUUCGGCCAGCUCCCAGCUCCACAUCCCCCUUUCUGGAGGAGUGGGUGUUGUCCCCUUGCUGGCAGCCCCCAGGGCACAGGAGCCCCUGGCAGGAGUGGGGUGCAGAUGCUCUCUCUGGGCCCGGCUGGGGUCCCACACACAGGCAGGCUGCACCCUGACAUUUGCCCCAUGGAGCUCGCUGUAAUUUUUCAGGUGCUGACAUCCCAAAUUGCUGCUCCUGGGCGCCCAUGGGAGGCAGCUGAAGCCAGGCUGAGCAGGAGCAGCAGCACUUGGUCCAGGACUUGGCCCGCUCAGAGUCUGCUGCUGCUCUGCUCCACUCUCAGCUCCUGAGCUGUCCCUGGCACCUCCCAGGGCACUGCCAAGGCAUGGAGGGGCUGUGGGCGCACGGUGUCCUGCUGAUCUGCCUGCUGCCCUGCCCUGUGGGGAGCCAGACCAGCUCCAUCCCUGACCAGCGAUGGUGGACAGACCCCAAUGAGGCCCCAUCCCAGCAGCAUGCUGCCAGGGCCUCGCAGGAGCAGAAGGCUGAUGGUGCCCAGCCUGCACAGCCCCGCUGUGUCCGCUGCUGCCCCCCACCCGAAAAGCGCUUCUACCCCCAGUACCAGCCCGUGCCUCAGAUCAACAUGACCAUCCUGAAAGGUGAGGGCUGACAGGACCCCAGGCUGUGCUGCCUGCAUUGCCCCAGGUCCAGUGCUGAGCUGGGCUUGCAGUGCCAGUUCCUGCACAGACUGGGGGUGAG